rnacentral:rRNA from 1 species
AGCGAACGCUGGCGGCAGGCCUAACACAUGCAAGUCGAACGAACCUUUCGGGGUUAGUGGCGGACGGGUGAGUAACACGUUGGAACGUGCCUUUAGGUUCGGAAUAACGCAGGGGAACUUGUGCUAAUACCGAAUGUGCCCUUCGGGGGAAAGAUUUAUCGCCUUUAGAGCGGCCCGCGUCUGAUUAGCUAGUUGGUUGAGGUAAUGGCUCACCAAGGCGACGAUCAGUAGAUGGUCUGAGAGGAUGAUCAGCCACAUUGGGACUGAGACACGGCCCAAACUACUACGGGAGGCAGCAGUGGGGAAUCUUGCGCAAUGGGCGAAAGGCUGACGGAGCCAUGCCGCGUGAAUGCUGAAGGUCUUGGGAUUGUAAAAUUCUUUAACCGGGGACGAUAAUGACGGUACCAGGAGAAGAAGCCCCGGCUAACUUCGUG